UACAGAGACUGCAAGCGUUAUUCGGAUUCACUGGGCGUAAAGCGUGCGCAGGCGGCGCGUUAAGACAGGUGUGAAAGCCCCGAGCUUAACUUGGGAAUUGCGCUUGUGACUGGCGUGCUGGAGUGUGGCAGAGGGAGGUGGAAUUCCACGUGUAGCAGUGAAAUGCGUAGAGAUGUGGAGGAACACCGAUGGCGAAGGCAGCCUCCUGGGCCAGCACUGACGCUCAUGCACGAAAGCGUGGGGAGCAAACAGG
rnacentral:rRNA from 1 species